UACGAAGGUGGCAAGCGUUACUCGGAAUUACUAGGCGUAAAGGGCAGGUAGGUGGUUUGGUAAGUCUGCUGUGAAAGCUCCUUGCUUAACGGGGAGAGGUCAACAGAUACUGCCAAACUUGAGUAUGGGAGAGGGUACUGGAAUUCCCGGUGUAGCGGUGAAAUGCGCAGAGAUCGGGAGGAACACCAAUGGCGAAAGCAGGUACCUGGACCAUUACUGACACUCAGCUGCGAAAGCUAGGGGAGCAAACAGG
rnacentral:rRNA from 1 species